rnacentral:misc_RNA from 1 species
CAACUGUUGCAACGGCAAAUACUGGACGCUCUCUUAGUAAAAAUCCAAUUGUCAACUGAAUUGGAAGAGUUAUCAAGCCACCACAACAGACACCAGCAAAGAAACAAUCUGGUGAUAUAUCCAGAGUCCCUGCAAGGAAAGCAGUGGGAUUUCUUACUCCAAGAGAAAACCGUUCCACAAAACCAAUGAGAUUCCCAUGUUUUUGUACAGCGUUUGUAAUAUCUUUUGCCUUCUGAUUUCCGAUCCCUAACUUUGAGCAAAUAUCAUCGG